rnacentral:rRNA from 1 species
CGCGUAGGUGGUGGCUUAAGCGUGCGGUGAAAGCUCGGGGCUCAACUCCGAGUCGGCCGUGCGAACUGGGCUCACUGGAGCAUAGUAGAGGCAGGUGGAAUUCCGGGUGUAGCGGUGGAAUGCGUAGAGAUCCGGAAGAACACCGGUGGCGAAGGCGGCCUGCUGGGCUAUGGCUGACACUGAGGCGCGACAGCGUGGGGAGCAAACAGGAUUAGAUACCCUGGUAGUCCACGCCGUAAACGAUGGGCACUAGGUGCUUGGGGGAGCGACCCCCUGGGUGCCGGCGCUAACGCAUGAAGUGCCCCGCCUGGGGAGUACGGCCGCAAGGCUGAA